GGAAGGGGUGUAUUUAUUAGAUAAAAAACCAACGCCCUUCGGGGCUUCUUGGUGAUUCAUGAUAACUUCACGGAUCGCAUGGCCUUGCGCCGGCGACGGUUCAUUCAAAUUUCUGCCCUAUCAACUUUCGAUGGUAAGGUAUUGGCUUACCAUGGUUUCAACGGGUAACGGGGAAUUAGGGUUCGAUUCCGGAGAGGGAGCCUGAGAAACGGCUACCACAUCCAAGGAAGGCAGCAGGCGCGCAAAUUACCCAAUCCCGACACGGGGAGGUAGUGACAAUAAAUACUGAUACAGGGCUCUUUUGGGUCUUGUAAUUGGAAUGAGUACAAUUUAAACCUCUUAACGAGGAACAAUUGGAGGGCAAGUCUGGUGCCAGCAGCCGCGGUAAUUCCAGCUCCAAUAGCGUAUAUUAAAGUUGUUGCGGUUAAAAAGCUCGUAGUUGAAACUUGGGCCUGGCUGGCAGGUCCGCCUCACCGCGUGUACUUGUCCGGCCGGGCCUUUCCUUCUGGAGAACCUCAUGCCCUUCACUGGGUGUGCUGGGGAACCAGGACUUUUAC
rnacentral:rRNA from 1 species